AUGAGGAAGACUCUGACCAGUUCAUAGAUGAGGAGCAUCAGGGACCACCUUUGGGAGGACAGCUAUCUAAACACCCUGCUGGUGAUGGAAACAAGGAUGAUGGCCCUCAGCAGAAACCACCCCAUCACGGAGGCCACCACCACCGUCCACCACCUCCUACAGGAGAGCCACAAAACACACAGAAACCAGGAGGCCAUCACCAUCAUCGUCCCUCACCUCCUCCUGGAAAGCCCGAGGGAACACCUCCACCUUCCCAAGGGAGCCGCCCAUCAAGACCUCCAAAGGAGCAGUCUCCCCAGUAAUCUAGGAUUCCACGACAGGAAGUGAAUAAGAAGAAAACAGUGUUUCAAAUGCCAUGAUACACGGGGUCAUGCUCUAACUUCAGUAUACCAAUAAAACAAUCAGCUUGCAAUUUCUGAUGGUGGUGUCUGUUUCUGAGUGUUUGGGACUCUGGAAUCUGAGAGCCAUGUUCACAUUGUACGAACAUCCAGGACCCCUUCUCCUUUAUGUUUCCAGCAAGCUUCUCCCCUCCUUAUCCUUAAGUCAUCUGCCUGGGGAAGGAGUUCCACUGUUUCUUUCCUUCUUCUUCUAUAGCUCGAAUUUUAAAUUGUACAAGUAUUUUCAGGUCAUUUCCUGAUAUUCCAGUAAGCUUAUGAAUGUAAGAAAAACAAUAUCAGUGAAAGAAAGUCCCAGAAGCUGAGAGAAAUUUUAACAAGUUCAAAAGUAACCAAUUUGGUUUUCUAGGGAAAUGAGUAUGGUUCUGUGCCUCUAUUCCCCAGAAACCACUAGACCUAUUUUCCCCUAUUUUAUCUUUGAUCAGUUCUAUCCCUGCCUAUAAGUCUUACUAUUCUUAAGAAAACCUAAAUGGAUUUCAUCAGAGGCAGCAUGACUUGAAUAAGCAAAGAAUUUGGAAUCUCUCAGAUUGUAGUUUAACAACUCUCUCUUGCUAACUCUGGACUCAUAGGAAGCUACUUACAUCUCAGAGCCUAAGUUUCCUCUUCUAAAUUUUUGAAUAAUCAAAAUGACUCCCCUAAAGGAUGAAGACUAAGCAGAUCACAUACAUGGAAAACUAGUGGAUAUCGUCAUGUCUGCUUCCCACUAAUGAUUUUAGGAAAGAACAGUGGACAUGAAAUUGUGAGGAAUUAAAUGCUCCCAAGUUAAAAAUCUUAAGAUUUCUUUGUCAAAAAAUUUAAGUGCACUAGUCUCUGACAUUGGUUUUCUCUAGGCUUUCAAACAAAAUAGGAACACAUUGCGUAUUCAUAUUUUUUUUUAGCAUUUUCUUCUUAUCAGGCUCUUUGUAAAAUUCUAAUUAGUUCUUUUUUUAAAAAAAUAGUAUCUCCUUAUGGAAAUUUAAUUAUGACAAUUAGAAAUGUAGACUUUUGAAAUCUAAGAGAUUUCUAACAUGUUAGUUAAUACAGCAAAUUAUUGCUUGCAUAAUGUCAUUUUUUUCUGUGUACCACCCAAAUUAAAAUAUCUAGAAUGAGAAAACAGAGAAGCAAUCUAAUUUAUAACAGACAGAAAGUCUAGUUCUUAAGCGAAAAUAAAAGAUACAAACAUCUUAUAGUUUCAUUAAAAAAGCAGAAAACAAUAAAAACUUCAGAAAUGAGAGGGAGAAAUUAAUCACAGAUAUGUAAAAUUUUGAAAAAAAUCAGAAAACAUGAUGUAAAACUCUUCUGAUAUAAAAUUUCAAUGACACUACUAAUAUUACUUUUAAUGUAAGUUAUCAAAUAUGACUCCAAGAAUUACCGUGAAAAAAUUGAAUAUAAAAUAACCUAAGAAAAAUGAAUGAUGUUGAGAGGAGACUCUCUGCAAGCAACUGUCACUGUCAUCUCCAAUGUCAAUGAACACAGAAAAUUCUUAUGUUGAAUUUGUUAAGCAUAGGAACAGAUAUCUCUAGUUUAAGUUUUUGAAAUUAUAACAAAGGCUAAAAACAUUCAGAAUUCAUUCUGUGAGGCUCAUUCAUGAAAAUAAGUAGACCUGCAAAGGAAAAAUACUCAGAAGUAAAUAAACAAGUCAAUCUGUGCAGAAAAUAAUCCACCAUGUUGAAAGAGGAUGAUAAAGAUGGCUCAAUAUUGAAAAUUGCUACUAUCUCAACUGAUAGCCUAAGUGCUUUCACUAAGAAGUUCAAAAACAAUCAGAACAGAAUGAUCUCACCACAAAAGCCACCAACUUGACCAAUCCAUAUGUAGUUUGAGCCCAGUUCUCUCCUAUUAUCCUAGGUGAAACCUCCUUGCCUCUAUCUUUUCCAUUCCUACUUGAUUUUUCAUCUCAUUGCCUAAUCAAGGAUUUUGAUUCUGCACAUGAUCCUUUUGUCUCCUGAAUCUUACGUGUAUGCUCCAUGGGAUUAUUUCAAGCAGCACAAACUUGCUGAAACAGCUCUCAUUUUUACUAAGGUCUCCCUAAGGCUCUUAAUUCUUCCUUACUAUGACCUUAUUUGUCUGCCUUCCUUAUUGCAAAGUUCUUGAAACAUAUACCUAUAGUAUCAUGUCAUGUCUGUUCCCCAAUAAUGAUUUUAAGAAAUAAUGGCAGACAUUAAAUUAUGAGGAAAUAAAUGCUCCAAGUUAAAAAUAUUAAGAUUUCUUUGUCAAAAAACCUAAGUAAAAUAGUCUCUAACACUGCUUUUUUCUAGGCUCUCAAACAAAAUAGGAUCACUUUGUCUCCUCAUAUGUUUUUUAGCAUUUUCUUUCUUACCAGGC
ensembl:lncRNA